AUUGAACGCUGGCGGCAGGCCUAACACAUGCAAGUCGAGCGGUAGAGAGAAGCUUGCUUCUCUUGAGAGCGGCGGACGGGUGAGUAAUGCCUAGGAAUCUGCCUGGUAGUGGGGGAUAACGUUCGGAAACGGACGCUAAUACCGCAUACGUCCUACGGGAGAAAGCAGGGGACCUUCGGGCCUUGCGCUAUCAGAUGAUCCUAGGUCGGAUUAGCUAGUUGGUGGGGUAAUGGCUCACCAAGGCGACGAUCCGUAACUGGUCUGAGAGGAUGAUCAGUCACACUGGAACUGAGACACGGUCCAGACUCCUACGGGAGGCAGCAGUGGGGAAUAUUGGACAAUAGGCGAAUGACUGAUCCAGCCAUGCCGCGUGUGUGAAGAAGGUCUUCGGAUUGUAAAGCACUUUAAGUUGGGAGGAAGGGCAGUAAAUUAAUACGUUGCUGUUUUGACGUUACCGACAGAAUAAGCACCGGCUAACUCUGUG
rnacentral:rRNA from 1 species